GUGAAAUGUGUCGUCCAAACACUGUUAAAACGGUUACUAACUUUUCGGGGUUGCCAACCACGAAAAAAACGGAACGCCUCCGAAAUUUUCGUAUGUAGCCUAAAUUUUCGUGGUUAUUGGCACGAAGUCCGCUGUUCUCACCAAAACCCCAAAAUGUUGGUAGUUGUAAGCCCCUAAAAUACAUGGUUAAGACUGAACACAAAAAGUAAAUCAACGGCAACGCUGAAUUAGUGAUCGUUCUUACUUCUUCCAGAAACAAAGUUCCGAGUUGUUCGUGUUCGAAUGGCGGCUAAUCUACGUUAUGGUCUUAUGACAUUGUCUUGAUAACCAUGUUGAAGAAAAAGAUAAGAGAAAUGAUCUAGAGAAAAUGUGUCAAGUCCUGCAGCAUAAAAGCACUGAACCGACUUUGUCUCAUGGUGAAUCUGUACAGUUGGAUGACAGUGAUGGGCAGCAUGUCUCUAAUCAAACUUUCCCCGUUAACACAAGACAGUUUGAAUGACUCAAUUCUUCUAUGUAAAAAUUGCCAUUGAUGAGGAAAUGGUGAAUCUGUACAGUUGGAUGACAGUGAUGGGCAGCAUGUCUCUAAUCAAACUUUCCCCGUUAACACAAGACAGAGUUUGAAUGACUCAAUUCUGCUAUGUAGAAAAUGGCCAUUGAUGAGGAAAUGGUGAAUCUGUACAUUUGGAUGACAGUGAUGGGCAGCAUGUCUCUAAUCAAACUUUCCCCGCUAACACAAGACAGAGUUUGAAUGACUCAAUUCUGCUAUGUACAAAUUGCCAUUGAUGAGGAAAUGGUGAAACUCAACAAUUGGAUGACAGUGAUGGGCAGCCUAUCUAAUCAAGCUUUCCCCAUUGUUAACACAAGAAAGAGUUUGUACGACUCAAUUCUGCUACAUACAAAUUGCCAUUGAUAAGAGAGUUAAGCCAUCUACAGAAAGGUUCCAACUCUAUUGAAGAACAAACCUUCACCACACCCUGAUUUGUUUUGUUGUGGAUAGAAUGUUUUCGAAGUAUCCAAAGUCAAGUUAGGACAAGAAAGACUAGUAAACAAACAGAGGAGAGCCUGGUGACGUCACGGAAAUCUGCCAAACGUUCGUAGAGAACUGGUUGGCUUAUCCACCGUUGAUCCUUAAGUAUGCAGUGAAGGCGAAGAAGACAAUUGAUGCUGUGAGUCGAAGACCAGCUUAUUGCAAAGUGUAAAAGUGCUAACUGUUAGUAUCUAAUUGUGUUUUUGUCAUUCUACACUGUGGCUUCGAAGUUGUAUGAAAUAAAACGUUAUUAACUCGA